AACACAAGAGGCAGCGCCUCUUUCCCUUUGUUUCUUUCACGACAAAUUCUGGAAAAAGGCAGAGAAACAACAACAGCUAUUCUCCUUUCUCCCUUUGAACCUUCUCGCGAUUUUCUCUCAUGGUGGACAAAAACCACAACUCGACCUCACUCUCUCGGUUUCUCUCUUCCACGAUAACCACCAUGAAUUUUCGUUCUCAACGUCAUCCCUCUUGCGGAGUUCUCUCUCUCGCUCAACACACAAGAACGAAAACAACAACUUUCUCUCUUGCGCUCGGUUUCUCGUCCUCUUUCGGUUUCUCUCUGCUAGCGGCUGAACAACAACAACGAAGCCCUCUCUCGACCUCGCUCGCGGCGGCCAUGAAGUAACAAAAGCUCUUAUCGGAAAAAUAACAACUCAAAGCAUAAUCCGACAAGCAGAAGUGGAAAACUCAGUACAACAAUAAUUAACAGCAAGUUUGAGAGUGAAAGGGGAAUCGGAUUACCUACGGCAAGGAGGAUUUUGCCGGUUUAAUAUUUGAGGUACAACGCUGAUUAAUGGAAAUAGAGAGAGUGAAGGAAAAGAGACUUACCUGCGGCGAGUUGUGCUUUUGCAAGUGAGAACUGAAUGAUUGCAGCGUCGGUGUUUGAAUCAGCUGCAGGGUGUUGACGGCUCAUCUAUGGAGGCUCGAAGACCGGAUCCAUUGUUGAAGGCUGCUAGCAAGCAAGAGAGGUAUGAAGGCUUCUCUUCUCCCUCUUACUUUUUGUAAUUUUUCUGUAGACUGUAACUUAGAAGUUACAGACUGUUGGCUGCCUUCUCCCCUCUUUUUCCUCUUUUUGUAUUUUGUAACUUAGAAGUUACAGAAUAUUUCUCUGUGAACUCUCCCCUUUUUCUCCUUUUUCCUUUUUCAUAAUUGGUUUGCCUCUCUUCUAUAUAUAGAGGAAAAAAUGAAGGACAAUUUUGGUCAUUUUGGAACCAAAGCUUAGUCUUUAAGCUCACUUAGUUACUAAGUUUUCAUCAUUGCAAAGAAUAUUCUUUCCAAAAUAAUCAUUGCAAAAAUUCCUUGAAUGCUAAGUUUACUUAAUAGCCAAGUUCCACAAAUUUGUGCACAUGGGAGAAUAUGCACAUGGGAUGGAAAGAUUUUCUUCACAACUCUUGUAGUGAAAGUUCCACGACAAGCUUUCUCUUAUGUUAGUAACUUCUAUGUGGUAGUUAUAACAUAAUAUAUAUAUUUCUUUGACUUCCUUUGACUUUUUCUUUUUCUUUUUUUUCUUCUUUUUUUUUCGAAAAAUAUAGCUUCCAUGUGGGCUUUUGGGCUUUUUGAAUUAUUUAUUUGACUUUUGCUAAUUUCACCCUUUUAUGUUUCUUUUUCAUGUCACAUGAGGACUUUUGAAGAAAGCAUGGAGAAACUUGAAUGAAGAAUGGAAACUUGAAGAUUGAAGAAUUCAAGAAAGCAUUGGAUUUUCUUUUAUUCUUUGUAAUCCAAUUUUAUUCCACUUUAGAAUUGUUUGAACUUUGUAUGAAUGGAAUGAUGUAAUUCUUGGAUUUUGGAUGAAACCUUGUAAUUUGUUUAGAAAUUAGAACUUGUUUCAUGUAAAAGAAUAUCAUUUGUAAUGCUUGAAUCUCCCUUAGAAUCUUGAAUGAAAAUUGUUAUCCAAA